GAAUGUGCGGAAUUUUAGAAAAAUUCUUUGCGUAUUUAAACAAAAAAUAUCACUCUCAAUAUUACAUACUUUUGACAGCGAUAUAUGCACGAAGAAAUGUCGGCGUUAAAUUCUUUGAUAUCGGUCAAAUAAACUCCUCGAAAGCCGAUCGCUCAAUAUCGUCGCGUGCUUUUUAUCGAUGUAAUAGCGAUUUGUUUUACAACAGUUUUUUAAAAUUAUUGACUCCGUGUCUUACAAUUGUUAGCGGCGAUACUUAAUUUUUUCGUACAACUGGCGUUUGCAACCAUAAAUUUAUAUCAAUAAGAAUUUAAGUCGUUUUUUAUUAUACACUGAAUAUGAUUACAGAAAAUGGUCGAAACGUUCGAAAAUUGAAUAAAGAGUAAAUUUGUUUUGCGCACUGAUUUCUGUAUGUAUAAUAUAUAAUUUUCAAGCGUGAUUAAACUGGCAACCUUCCUCCAUUCUACACAAACGCAUUACAAAAGAAGAAAUAUUGUGGAAAUGAUUUUUAUAAAAAUGUAUAAAGCUUCCAUAAAUUUAAAAAAAGACACAGACAAAUUAAAUUUAAUAUACGAUUCCAUUCUUAAUAUCAUAUACGCUUCUUCUGAAAUAAUAUACCUCUCUAGGUCACCGCUACUGUUUUGAUACCAACACAGAGAAUUUAGUACGUAUUGAAUUCUCGAUCGACACAUAUCGUUUCUCGACUCACCACACGACUUAAUUUCAACGUAUCUGUGUAAUAAAGUAAAGUUCUGUGGUGUGUUUAAGUUGACUAAUUUUCUCUAGAUAUGAGCAUCUUUCUCAUUAACGGAUUCUUCUUACUGUGCUUCGUCGUGGCCACAAUACCGGAUGUUCUGGUGCUGGGUUCACCAAAAGCCGCGAAAAUAAUGGACCAGAAUCCGCUACCGACUAUGUGCACUUACAGUAGAACUAAUUCUAUAUUGAAAGCGCGGUGCUCCAAAUUAAAAUCGAACAAAAUUCCGUUAGAUUUGAAAGCAGACAUACAGGUACUGGAUAUUAUUGAGAACCACU